GAAAUGCGAUAAGUAGUGUGAAUUGCAGAAUUCAGUGAAUCAUCGAAUCUUUGAACGCACAUUGCGCCCUUUGGUUUUCCUUAGGGCAUGCCUGUUCGAGCGUCAUCUAAACCUUCAAGCCCUGCUUGGUGUUGGGUGCCUGUCCCGCCUCCGCGCGCGGACUCACCUCAAAUCCAUUGGCGGCCCCCGCGUCGGCCACGAGCGCAGCAGAAACGCGAACUCGUGAGCCCGUCCGGGCGGCUCCCAGAAGCUACACCCACCCAGUUUGACCUCGGAUCAGGUAGGGAUACCCGCUGAACUUAAGC
rnacentral:misc_RNA from 1 species